rnacentral:lncRNA from 1 species
GUGCAAACUUAACAGUGACACGGAACGGAACGUGAACCGUACGUUUUAUUCUUAUUAUUAUACCUUAGCCCGCCCAUGCAUGCAUCGAUCGAGAUGCAGCAGCUGGCUGGCUAGUGAUGACACGGACAUACAUACGACAUACGUACGUAGAAAGGGGCACACACAUUCAAGUAGGUACACAGACGUAUGGUUCCAUGGGCUAGCUAGCUGACGUACGGCGAAGGCCAGCUAGCCGUAGCACAUAUGAUCAGCACUGCCUGAUGCACUUGCACCGGCGGAAGGGCCCGUCGCAGUUGCCGCCGCCCCAGCCUUCUUGCUGGCAGACUUGCGCGCAGUUC